rnacentral:misc_RNA from 1 species
UAGAGAGUACUCUCUCCGUCCCAUAAAAACUAACCUAUUGGAUGUGACACAUUCUAGUACUACGAAUCUGGACAUAUCUUUAUCCAUAUUUAUUAUAUUAGAAUAUGUCACAUUCAGUCCUAGCUAGAUUCAUUUCGUUUGGGACGGAGG